CAAAGUAUAAUCUUAAAUAUUUUUCAUACAUCAAUAAAUUAAAAAAUACACUAGUGUUUGACAUGUUUGGUUCUUCAAUUGUUCCCUCUCACUCUGAAUCGCAACGAGAUGUGGUUAUGGAUCUGUCAGUGAAUGGUGAUAUAUGUGGAAAUGGUUUG